rnacentral:rRNA from 1 species
AGUGAACGCUGGCGGUAGGCCUAACACAUGCAAGUCGAACGGCAGCACAGUAAGAGCUUGCUCUUACGGGUGGCGAGUGGCGGACGGGUGAGGAAUACAUCGGAAUCUACUUUUUCGUGGGGGAUAACGUAGGGAAACUUACGCUAAUACCGCAUACGCUCUACGGGUGAAAGCAGGGGAUCUUCGGACCUUGCGCGAUUGAAUUAGCCGAUGUCGGAUUUGCUAGUUGGCGGGGUAAAGGCCCACCAAGGCGCGGAUCCGUAGCUGGUCUGAGAGGAUGAUCGCCCGCACUGGAACUGGGACACGGUCCAGGCUCCUGCGGGAGGCAGCAGUGGGGAAUAUUGGACAGAGGGCGCAAGCCUUAUCCAGCCAUCCCGCGUGGGUGAAGGAGGCCUUCGGGUUGUAAAGCCCUUUUGUUGGUAAAGAAAAGCAGCAGGUUAAUACCCCGCUGUUCUGACGGUACCCAAAGAAUAAGCACCGGCUAACUUCGUG